rnacentral:rRNA from 1 species
GACGAACGCUGGCGGCGUGCCUAAUACAUGCAAGUAGAACGCACAGUUUAUACCGUAGCUUGCUCCACCAUAGACUGUGAGUUGCGAACGGGUGAGUAACGCGUAGGUAACCUGCCUGGUAGCGGGGGAUAACUAUUGGAAACGAUAGCUAAUACCGCAUAAUAUUAAUUAUUGCAUGAUAAUUAAUUGAAAUGUGCAAUUGCACCACUACCAGAUGGACCUGCGUUGUAUUAGCUAGUGGGUGAGGUAACGGCGCACCUAGGCGACGAUACAUAGCCGAACUGGGAGGGUGAUCGGCCACACUGGGACUGGGACACGGCCCAGGCCCCUACGGGAGGCAGCAGUAGGGGAUCUUCGGCAAUGGACGAAAGUCUGACCGAGCAACGCCGCGUGAGUGAAGAAGGUUUUCGGAUCGUAAAGCUCUGUUGUAAGAGAAGAACGGGUGUGAGAGUGGAAAGUUCACACUGUGACGGUAUCUUACCAGAAAGGGACGGCUAACUACGUG